rnacentral:tRNA from 1 species
GCCGAAGUGGUGGAAUUGGCAGACGCGCAGCGUUCAGGGCGCUGUGGGCUUCAGGCCCGUGCGGGUUCAACUCCCGCCUUCGGCACCA